AUUGAACGCUGGCGGCAGGCCUAACACAUGCAAGUCGAACGAGUGGCGGACGGGUGAGUAAUGUCUGGGAAACUGCCCGAUGGAGGGGGAUAACUACUGGAAACGGUAGCUAAUACCGCAUACCAUCGGAUGUGCCCAGAUGGGAUUAGCUAGUAGGUGGGGUAACGGCUCACCUAGGCGACGAUCCCUAGCUGGUCUGAGCGGAGGACAAGCAACACUGGAACUGAGACACGGUCCAGACUCCUACGGGAGGAAGCAGUGGGGAAUAUUGCACAAUGGGCGCAAGCCUGAUGCAGCCAUGACGAGUGAAUGAAGAAGUCCUUCGGGUUGUAAAGUACUUUCAGCGAGGAGGCGUUACUCACAUAGGAAGCACCGGCUAACUCCGUGCCAGCAGCAGCGGUAAUUC
rnacentral:rRNA from 1 species